UUACGGCCCUAGAGCAUUGAAAUACCGCUUCCCGUACGAUCACCGAAGUAAAGCAAAGUCGAACCAGGUCAGUACCUAGAGAGAUGACCGCUUAGGAAUACCAUGUGCUGUAA